UGAGGAAUAUUGGACAAUGGGUGAGAGCCUGAUGCAGCCAUCCCGCGUGAAGGACGACGGCCCUAUGGGUUGUAAACUUCUUUUGUAUAGGGAUAAACCUUUCCACGUGUGGGAAGCUGAAGGUACUAUACGAAUAAGCACCGGCUAACUCCGUGCCAGCAGCCGCGGUAAUACGGAGGGUGCAAGCGUUAUCCGGAUUUAUUGGGUUUAAAGGUUCCGUAGGCGGAUCUGUAAGUCAGUGGUGAAAUCUCAUAGCUUAACUAUGAAACUGCCAUUGAUACUGAAGGUCUUGAGUAAAAGAGAAGUGGCUGGAAUAAGUAGUGUAGCGGUGAAAUGCAUAGAUAGUACUGAGAACACCAGGUGCGAGGGCAGGUCACUAUGUUUUAACUGACGCUGAUGGACGAAAGCGUGGAGAGAGAAC
rnacentral:rRNA from 1 species